UAAAGAAAUUGGAAAGUUGGGCAUCUUAGUCACUGUCUUGUCACUGAAACAUAAUACCUGACUCCCACAUAAACAGUGUAUUUUGGAUCGCAGUUUGUAGAGGUUUCGGUCCAUAGUUGGCUGGCUCCACAGCCGGGUGGUGUGGCAGACAGGCCUGGUGGAAGGAAUGAAUAGCAGAGGAGAAUCAGCUCAUGGCAGCAAGAAGCAGAGAAAGACCAAGAGAGAGAGGGAGAGGGGCCCUCCUGGGUCGCACCCAGUGACCACCUGCUCCCCCCAGGCUUCGCCCCCAACAUCACAUUUAGCUAUGAUCUCAUCAGGGGACCAAUCCGCUGACUAUGGUUCGGCUCUGUUGAGUCAGUUAAAUCAGUUUGCACUGCGCCAUCUGCCUUCCGGCCUUCACAAGUUCCACCAAGCCCAUUCUCUCCAUCUUGGUAGUCGUAUACAGAUGAUACAGGGUUCCUUCCCAUGCCUUCCACGUCACCUAGAGUAAAGCCUGGAGCUCUUACCAGUCCUAGAAGAGGCCCUGGAUUGGCUCCCUGCAGCCCUGGAUUGGCUCUGGCAUUGCAACCCUCUUCCCUUCAUCCGCUCUCCCUUGUUGUUCCACAGACACCCAACCACACUUCUGUUCCAGACAGGUGAGCUUGCUAACUGCCUGGAGAGCGCCUUCCAAGGUGUUCCUGUCCUUACUUCUUUUGGGCCUCUUUGGACUCAUACCAUGGAGUUCUUCUUGACUUAAUAUAAAAUAUUCCCUACUACACACACACACACACACACACGCACA
rnacentral:lncRNA from 1 species